UAGCUACAGGCUUAACACAUGCAAGUCGAGGGGCAUCAGGGAGAAAGCUUGCUUCUUGCUGGCGACCGGCGCACGGGUGAGUAACGCGUAUCCAACCUUCCCCUUAGUAGGGCAUAGCCCGGCGAAAGUCGGAUUAAUACCCUAUGUUGUCAAUAGAGGACAUCUGAAGCUGACCAAAGGUUUACCGCUAAGGGAUGGGGAUGCGUCUGAUUAGGUUGCAGGCGGGGUAACGGCCCACCUGGCCGACGAUCAGUAGGGGUUCUGAGAGGAAGGUCCCCCACACUGGUACUGAGACACGGACCAGACUCCUACGGGAGGCAGCAGUGAGGAAUAUUGGUCAAUGGGCGAGAGCCUGAACCAGCCAAAGUAGCGUGCAGGAUGACGGCCCUAUGGGUUGUAAACUGCUUUUAUACGGGGAUAAAGUUCACCACGUGUGGUGUUUUGUAGGUACCGUAUGAAUAAGGACCGGCUAAUUCCGUGCCAGCCGCCGC
rnacentral:rRNA from 1 species